rnacentral:rRNA from 1 species
AGCUCCAUUAGCGUAUAUUAAAGUUGUUGCAGUUAAAAAGCUCGUAGUUGGAUUUCGGUGUGGGCCAGUGGGUCGGCCGCGAGGCCUGUUACUGACUGGUCCGCUCUUCCUCUCAAAGACUGCGCGUGCCCUUCGCUGGGUGUGCGUAUUUGGAUUUGGGACGUUUACUUUGAAAAAAUUAGAGUGUUCAAGGCAGGCUCGCCAGCUUGAAUACAUGAGCAUGGAAUAAUGGAAUAGGACCUGAUCCUGUUUUGUUGGUUUGUCGGUAUUAGGUAAUGAUUAAGAGGGACGGUCGGGGGCAUUUGUAUUCCAGGGUUAGAGGUGAAAUUCUUGGAUCCUUGGAAGACAAACAGCUGCGAAAGCGUCUGCCAAGGACGUUUUCAUUGAUCAAGAACGAAAG